rnacentral:rRNA from 1 species
AGGACGAACGCUGGCGGCGUGCUUAACACAUGCAAGUCGAGCGGUAAGGCCUUUCGGGGUACACGAGCGGCGAACGGGUGAGUAACACGUGGGUGAUCUGCCCUGCACUUCGGGAUAAGCCUGGGAAACUGGGUCUAAUACCGGAUAUGACCUCAGGUUGCAUGACUUGGGGGUGGAAAGAUUUAUCGGUGCAGGAUGGGCCCGCGGCCUAUCAGCUUGGUUGGUGGGGUAAUGGCCUACCAAGGCGACGACGGGUAGCCGACCUGAGAGGGUGACCGGCCACACUGGGACUGAGACACGGCCCAGACUCCUACGGGAGGCAGCAGUGGGGAAUAUUGCACAAUGGGCGAAAGCCGGAUCCAGCAAUGCCGCGUGAGUGAUGAAGGCCUUA